AUGGUAAAGGUAAGAAAGUUCACCCAAUACUUGGUGAAGACACACAAUGGGAAAUUCAAUGGGAGGAUCUUCGUGUCGGCGAGCAUAUUUGUAUUGGUUCUUAUGGUGAAAUUUACUGGGCUGAUUGCAAUGGCACUUUUGAGAUUGUGGUUUAGCUCAAAGGGAACGUUGUCACAUGAUCAGGCCUUGCAUGGGGUAUGUGGCUGCAUUUACUUCUGA